rnacentral:rRNA from 1 species
GACGAACCGUGCGAACGUUAUUCGGAAUCACUGGGCUUAAAGCGCGUGUAGGCGGAUGGGAACGUCGGUGACUGAAAGCCCCCGGCUCAACCGGGGAAGUGGUGCCGAAACAACCCGUCUGGAGGGACGUAGGGGGACCUGGAACUUGCCGGUGGAGCGGUGAAAUGCGUUGAGAUCGGAAGGAACGCCCGUGGCGAAAGCGAGGUCCUGGACGUCUCUGACGCUGAGACGCGAAAGCUAGGGGAGCGAACGGG